rnacentral:rRNA from 1 species
GCUAAUUAGACGAAUAAGUUGGAAUGCUUAACCAAAGAAAGUGAUAGUCUUGUAGUCGAAAAUUAAAACAAUCAGAUUGUAUCCCAAGUAGCAUGGAGCACGUGAAAUUCCGUGUGAAUCUGCGAGGACCACCUCGUAAGGCUAAAUAUUCCUGAAUGACCGAUAGUGAAACAGUACCGUGAGGGAAAGGUGAAAAGAACCCCGGGAGGGGAGUGAAAAGAACAUGAAACCAUAAACUUACAAUCAGUAGGAGGACGACUGAAACGUCUGACUGCGUGCCUGUUGAAGAAUGAGCCGGCGACUUAUAGGUAGUGGCAGGUUAAAGCAGAGAAUGCUGGAGCCAUAGUGAAAGCGAGCCUGAAUAGGGCGUUUGUCACUGGUUAUAGACCCGAACCCGGAUGAUCUAACCAUGGUCAGGUUGAAGCUUAGGUAAUACUAAGUGGAGGACCGAACCGACUGAUGUUGAAAAAUCAGCGGAUGAAUUGUGGUUAGGGGUGAAAUGCCAAUCGAAUUCGGAGCUAGCUGGUUCUCCCCGAAAUGCGUUUUGGCGCAGCGAUAAAUCAAAGACUUGGGGGUAAAGCACUGUUACGUAUGCGGGCUGGUAAUUCGGUACCAAAUCGUUGCAAACUAAGAAUACUAAGUGA